AACGAACGCUGGCGGCAUGCCUAACACAUGCAAGUCGAACGAGACCUUCGGGUCUAGUGGCGCACGGGUGCGUAACGCGUGGGAACCUGCCUUUAGGUUCGGAAUAACUCAGAGAAAUUUGAGCUAAUACCGGAUGAUGUCUUCGGACCAAAGAUUUAUCGCCUUUAGAUGGGCCCGCGUUGGAUUAGCUAGUUGGUGGGGUAAAGGCCUACCAAGGCGACGAUCCAUAGCUGGUCUGAGAGGAUGAUCAGCCACACUGGGACUGAGACACGGCCCAGACUCCUACGGGAGGCAGCAGUGGGGAAUAUUGGACAAUGGGCGAAAGCCUGAUCCAGCAAUGCCGCGUGAGUGAUGAAGGCCUUAGGGUUGUAAAGCUCUUUUAACCGAGAUGAUAAUGACAGUAUCGGGAGAAUAAGCUCCGGCUAACUCCGUG
rnacentral:rRNA from 1 species